GCCCCGUGGAUGGCGGAUGCGUUGUGCGCGCAAGU
rnacentral:antisense_RNA from 1 species